CUUGCUUCUCUUGAGAGCGGCGGACGGGUGAGUAAUGCCUAGGAAUCUGCCUGGUAGUGGGGGAUAACGUUCGGAAACGGACGCUAAUACCGCAUACGUCCUACGGGAGAAAGCAGGGGACCUUCGGGCCUUGCGCUAUCAGAUGAGCCUAGGUCGGAUUAGCUAGUUGGUGGGGUAAUGGCUCACCAAGGCUACGAUCCGUAACUGGUCUGAGAGGAUGAUCAGUCACACUGGAACUGAGACACGGUCCAGACUCCUACGGGAGGCAGCAGUGGGGAAUAUUGGACAAUGGGCGAAAGCCUGAUCCAGCCAUGCCGCGUGUGUGAAGAAGGUCUUCGGAUUGUAAAGCACUUUAAGUUGGGAGGAAGGGUUGUAGAUUAAUACUCUGCAAUUUUGACGUUACCGACAGAAUAAGCACCGGCUAACUCUGUGCCAGCAGCCGCGGUAAUACAGAGGGUGCAAGCGUUAAUAGGAAUUACUGGGCGUAAAGCGCGCGUAGGUGGUUUGUUAAGUUGGAUGUGAAAUCCCCGGGCUCAACCUGGGAACUGCAUUCAAAACUGACUGACUAGAGUAUGGUAGAGGGUGGUGGAA
rnacentral:rRNA from 1 species